rnacentral:rRNA from 1 species
GGCUAAAACUCAAAGGAAUUGACGGGGACCCGCACAAGCGGUGGAUGAUGUGGAUUAAUUCGAUGCAACGCGAAAAACCUUACCUACCCUUGACAUGUCAGGAAUCCUGGAGAGAUCUGGGAGUGCUCGCAAGAGAACCUGAACACAGGUGCUGCAUGGCUGUCGUCAGCUCGUGUCGUGAGAUGUUGGGUUAAGUCCCGCAACGAGCGCAACCCUUGUCAUUAAUUGCCAUCAUUCAGUUGGGCACUUUAAUGAGACUGCCGGUGACAAACCGGAGGAAGGUGGGGAUGACGUCAAGUCCUCAUGGCCCUUAUGGGUAGGGCUUCACACGUCAUACAAUGGUCGGUUCAGAGGGUUGCCAACCCGCGAGGGGGAGCCAAUCUCAGAAAGCCGAUCGUAGUCCGGAUCGCAGUCUGCAACUCGACUGCGUGAAGUCGGAAUCGCUAGUAAUCGCGGAUCAGCAUGUCGCGGUGAAUACGUUCCCGGAU